UGUGAAAUACAGGAUGAGGGGCACACAGGAGAUGAAGAUGAAAGAAAAGAAAAUGAGCCACUUCUCCAGGGUUGGCGCUGCCUAGGAACAUCUUGAACAGCACCUGGAUGGUCAGGACACCCAUGAACCGGUCCUUGAGGACAAUCCAUGAGAGGAGAAAAACAAAAGCUUUGUGGCAACAGUAGAGGGCAGAGACAUCAGUCGCGGUCAGUUUCUUCAAGGCUAAGAGGGUGGUGAUCCAAAUCAGUGUGGAGCAGAAUACACCAUAGAGAUGUACAACUCUCCUGUUGAACACCUCAAGACUGAAGACUGCAAGGAAAGAACGCUAAUGUACACCGAGCAUCUGAAGAACAACAUGCAAGUGCUCAAACACACUGGAUCCAAAACCUGUUCCAGUUCCUCAGACACCAUCAGAGACUGUUUUGAAAGCCUUCUACUAUCAAUCUGGAUAAAAAGAAACUUUGCCAACCACUGCAAGUAUCAAGUGUUUUAAAUUUUGUUUGAAAUUUUAUUAUGUACUUAUUUGUUUUUGGUUGUAUUAAGUUUGAUAUCAAUUAGAUCAGUGCCUUUUUAGUCAUUAAUUUGAUUAUUAAAUAUUAACUGUUUAGGGCAGCACGGUGGCACGGUGGUUAGCACUGUUGCUGCACAGCAAGAAGGUCCUGAGUUCAA